CCCUAGCCCAGAUAGCAGUGAAAAUCCUUUUUUGAGGCUUUUUGCCUCAAAAAAGAUUGCAACGGAUAGCUGGAAAUAGC
rnacentral:sRNA from 1 species